GUAGGGAAUAUUGGACAAUGGGGGUAACCCUGAUCCAGCGACGCCGCGUGAGUGAUGAAGGCCUUCGGGUCGUAAAGCUCUGUUGCAGGGGAAGAACACAAUGACGGUACCCUGCUAGAAGGGAUCGGCUAACUUCGUGCCAGCAGCCGCGGUAAGACGAGGGAUCCUAGCGUUGUUCGGAAUUAUUGGGCGUAAAGCGGGUGCAGGUGGCUUGGUAAGUCAGAUGUGAAAGCCUGGGGCUUAACCCCAGAAGUGCAUUUGAUACUGCUGAGCUUGAGUGCUGGAGAGGCUAUUAGAAUUCCUGGUGUAGUGGUGAAAUACGUAGAUAUCAGGAGGAAUACCGGAGGCGAAGGCGGAUAGCUGGCCAGACACUGACACUCAGACCCGAAAGCUUGGGGAUCAAACAGGAUUAGAAACCCCUGUAGUCC
rnacentral:rRNA from 1 species